AUGUAGCGAGCUGAGUGGGGAGGAGAGAAGGACAGAGAGCCUGCUUGCUUUAAAGGAGCCAACUGCUUUGCUCUCCUCUCCCGCUUUGCCCCUUUGCAGGCUCUCUGUCCCUCUCUCCUCCCCACUCAGCGGCUCUUCUC
rnacentral:miRNA from 1 species